UACGAAGGGUGCAAGCGUUACUCGGAAUUACUGGGCGUAAAGCGUGCGUAGGUAGUUUGUUAAGUCUGUUGUGAAAGCCCCGGGCUCAACCUGGGAAUGGCAAUGGAUACUGGCAGGCUAGAGUGCGGUAGAGGGUAGUGGAAUUCCCGGGUGUAGCGGUGAAAUGCGUAGAGAUCGGGAGGAACACCAGUGGCGAAGGCGGCUACCUGGACCAGCACUGACACUGAGGCACGAAAGCGUGGGGAGCAAACAGG
rnacentral:rRNA from 1 species